rnacentral:rRNA from 1 species
AUUGAACGCUGGCGGCAUGCUUUACACAUGCAAGUCGAACGGCAGCGCGGGGCAACCUGGCGGCGAGUGGCGGACGGGUGAGUAAUAUAUCGGAACGUACCCAGACGUGGGGGAUAACGUAGCGAAAGUUACGCUAAUACCGCAUACGAUCUACGGAUGAAAGUCGGGGACCGCAAGGCCUUAUGCUUUUGGAUCGGCCGAUAUCUGAUUAGCUAGUUGGUGAGGUAAAGGCUCACCAAGGCGACGAUCAGUAGCUGGUCUGAGAGGACGACCAGCCACACUGGAACUGAGACACGGUCCAGACUCCUACGGGAGGCAGCAGUGGGGAAUUUUGGACAAUGGGCGCAAGCCUGAUCCAGCAAUGCCGCGUGAGUGAAGAAGGCCUUCGGGUUGUAAAGCUCUUUUGUCAGGGAAGAAACGGUAGAGGCUAAUAUCCCUUGCUAAUGACGGUACCUGAAGAAUAAGCACCGGCUAACUACGUG